rnacentral:rRNA from 1 species
UCUGUGGGAUCAGUGGCGAACGGGUGAGUAACACGUGAGCAACCUGCCCCUGACUCUGGGAUAAGCGCUGGAAACGGCGUCUAAUACUGGAUAUGUGACGUGACCGCAUGGUCUGCGUCUGGAAAGAAUUUCGGUUGGGGAUGGGCUCGCGGCCUAUCAGCUUGUUGGUGAGGUAAUGGCUCACCAAGGCGUCGACGGGUAGCCGGCCUGAGAGGGUGACCGGCCACACUGGGACUGAGACACGGCCCAGACUCCUACGGGAGGCAGCAGUGGGGAAUAUUGCACAAUGGGCGCAAGCCUGAUGCAGCAACGCCGCGUGAGGGAUGACGGCCUUCGGGUUGUAAACCUCUUUUAGCAGGGAAGAAGCGAAAGUGACGGUACCUGCAGAAAAAGCGCCGGCUAACUACGUGCCAGCAGCCGCGGUAAUACGUAGGGCGCAAGCGUUAUCCGGAAUUAUUGGGCGUAAAGAGCUCGUAGGCGGUUUGUCGCGUCUGCUGUGAAAUCCCGAGGCUCAACCUCGGGCCUGCAGUGGGUACGGGCAGACUAGAGUGCGGUAGGGGAGAUUGGAAUUCCUGGUGUAGCGGUGGAAUGCGCAGAUAUCAGGAGGAACACCGAUGGCGAAGGCAGAUCUCUGGGCCGUAACUGACGCUGAGGAGCGAAAGGGUGGGGAGCAAACAGGCUUAGAUACCCUGGUAGUCCACCCCGUAAACGUUGGGAACUAGUUGUGGGGUCCAUUCCACGGAUUCCGUGACGCAGCUAACGCAUUAAGUUCCCCGCCUGGGGAGUACGGCCGCAAGGCUAAAACUCAAAGGAAUUGACGGGGACCCGCACAAGCGGCGGAGCAUGCGGAUUAAUUCGAUGCAACGCGAGAACCUUACCAAGGCUUGACAUAUACGAGAACGGGCCAGAAAUGGUCGACUCUUUGGACACUCGUAAACAGGUGGUGCA